GGCGGACGGGUGAGUAACACGUGGAUAACCUACCUAUAAGACUGGGAUAACUUCGGGAAACCGGAGUUAAUACCGGAUAAUAUAUUGAACCGCAUGGUUCAAUAGUGAAAGACGGUUUUGCUGUCACUUAUAGAUGGAUCCGCGCCGCAUUAGCUAGUUGGUAAGGUAACGGCUUACCAAGGCAACGAUGCGUAGCCGACCUGAGAGGGUGAUCGGCCACACUGGAACUGAGACACGGUCCAG
rnacentral:rRNA from 1 species